AUUUAAAACUUUAAAAUUUCCCUUUUGACAUUUAAGUCCUUCAAUCAUCUGGAGCCAAUUUUUGUGAGUGGUGUGGGGUAAGGAUUCAAUUUCUUUUUUCCGCCGUGUGGAUGACCACUUUGCCCAUUUAUUGACUAGUCCCUCCUGAUCUGUGCCACUGCUCCGCCAUAUAUCAAAGUCCCAUAUACUUAUGGAUCUCUUCCAGGGCUUUGUCUUUGUCCCACUGGUCAGCUAGUCUAUCCUCUGCCAAUAGCAUGCUGUUUUGAUUACCCUUGCUUCACAAGAAGUCCUGAUAUUUGUUAUGAAAGAACACCAUUUGAAGAGAAACACGGGGAGAAAGGGACAUGAAGACAGACGCAGAGAUUGGAGCCAUGUACCUGCAGCUAAGGAAGCCAAAGUCUGCCAGCAAACCACCAGAAGAUAGAAGAGCAAGGAAGCCUUCUUCUCUGGAGUCUUCAGAGGGAGCAUAGCUAUGCCAACACCUCGAUUUUUAACUUGGGUUUCCAAAGUGGUGUGACAUUUAAGUUUCUGGUUUUCAAGUCACCUAGUGUGUGGUCCGUUAUUACAGCAGCCCUAGUGAAUCAGUGGAACCCCCCACCAAGCAACGCAGAAAACUUUUCCUACCAAAGCCUGCUCCAAUGUUUGUUCACUCCAUUCUUCUGCUCUUCUUUGCCUGGCUCCUCUCUGUAAGGCUCAGAGCCAGACUUGCAGCCGCCAUAAAAAGACCACACCUGAAUUGAAUGGGAACAUAGUCACAGAGAUUUAUAUGUUGCUGUCCCAGGUAUGUCCUAGGUAUAGGAGAAGCUGGUGGGUGAGAUCCUUUAUGAGAGCUGGGCUCUCUUCAUCCUCCAUCUCACUGCACGGGUGCUCCCCUCCAGCAGCUCUGCCGAGAGGACUCUUCUACUCCCACUUGGACUUGCCCUUGUAGUCAGUUUUUCACUUGACCAAUCCAGUCAGCCUUGAAAACCAUGGGCUCCAAGUCAUGACGAGCAUGCACCUUGUCAUCUGAGCAG
ensembl:lncRNA